rnacentral:rRNA from 1 species
CAAACUGGAGAUGGCGACCGGCGCACGGGUGAGUAACACGUAUCCAACCUGCCGAUGACUCGGGGAUAGCCUUUCGAAAGAAAGAUUAAUACCCGAUGGCAUAGUUCUUCCGCAUGGUAGAACUAUUAAAGAAUUUCGGUCAUCGAUGGGGAUGCGUUCCAUUAGGUUGUUGGCGGGGUAACGGCCCACCAAACCUUCGAUGGAUAGGGGUUCUGAGAGGAAGGUCCCCCACAUUGGAACUGAGACACGGUCCAAACUCCUACGGGAGGCAGCAUG